UCCACAUUCCAGCUACCAGGGAGCAGACAGAGGGACUAUCCAGCUCUCUGGCCUCCUCAGAAAGAGAUGAGAGAAUCAAGACCCCAGGACAUGAAAUCACUUACCUGGAAUGGCAUGGUCAAUAAAGGCAGAUUAUGGCAGUGGCAAUGUAUUAAGAGGAGUAUCAAUGGGAAUUAAGAUCCAACCAAGUUAAAUAUGUGGGUGGAGGGAUACAAAAACGCUGAAUGAGAUUCUAACAUUUUAGGCUAUUUACAACAGCACAGUGAGUCAGGAGAGGGUCCAGUGGAAAGCGACUGGAGACACAUCCGGCAGACAGGCAGAAAUAUCAGUUUCACCUCAAAGUUGUGGCAGAAGUAGUCUGAGCCAAGAAGCACAGGCAUUCCUGGGGUCAGCAGAUCAGGGCACAAAGGUAAGCUGGGAACAAAGUGAUACUGAUCUUGAACGUUAGGCAAGGGCUUAUCUUCGAGGCUGAUGCUUCCCAGUCAGUGCUUCCCAGCCUUCCUCAUUACCAUGGUACGUACAGAAAGCAAAUAUCUGUGCAUCUCACUGGGCAGUGACUGAGUGGGCUACCUCCCAGGCCUGUUCCUGCAGUGCCCCUUGGUUCUUCAUGAGACUAUUCAGGGUGUUUUUCUGGGCAAGUAACUCCAAAGGCAAGCAUCAGAGCAGCUCAAAGACUUAAGAACAUGUCACACAGGGAGAACAAGAAUGCCAUAUAAGUAAAAAGGCAGAGGCAGGAGUGAUGCACCUACAAGCCAAGGAACAGCAAAGAGAGCCAGAAAACCACCAGGAGCCAGAACAGAGGCAUGAAACAGAUUCUCC
rnacentral:antisense_RNA from 1 species